rnacentral:lncRNA from 1 species
UGAGAUUGAGAGAGAGGAGGUGGAUCGAGAGUUGAGGGAGAGAACGAGAUAGGGUUAAUAGAGUGAGGAGUGAGAGUGCGAGUGAGAGCGAGAGUGAGACUUGCUUGCCUGAAGAAAGAAAAGAAAAUUGAAAACCAAAAUCUGAGAGGGUAUACAGGUGUCAAAAUUUUAGAUGGCAAAAGAGGGAUACAAAAAGAAAGAAUGGUGUGUAUGUAUAAAGUCUUUAGUUGGUACUGUCUUUGUGUUGGUUCUUGCCUUACUGCACUAGAAAUGAUGGAGAGUUUUAGGCACGGUUUUCAGUUUUUCCGUACCUUAUUCUCUACUUUAUUCAAAUAAUUAAUCAUGAAAUUUAUUAAUCCGAAUCCAAUAACAUUUUAUAUUAUCAGUCAAAGUUGCCCCUUCUUUUUCCUUUAUUUUCUUCCCCACUCUCUCUCUUUCUUUAUAUUUUUAUUUUUUUGGUGGUACAAAUCUUUAUAUCUUGCUUAGCUUCUUGGUGCGGCAACUCUUCUUCCUAUUUCUUUUAUUUCGCUGGCUGCUGCACUUUUCUUCCUUUUCCUUUAAUUUUCUUUCCCAUUCUCUCCCUCUAUUUCAUUUAUCUUUUUUUUUUUUUUUUUGUGUGGUACAAAUCUUUAUAUCUUGUUUAGCUUCUUGGUGCGGCAACUCUUCUUCCUUUCCUAUUUCUUUUAUUUCGUUGGCUGCUGCACUUUUCUUUCUUUUGCUUUUUCUUCCCCGCAAGAACCAAUAAUUUUCUUCCUCCUCCUCUUCCUCUCUAACGAUUAGCAAAAAUAAAAAAUUUAAAAAAAGAAACUAUAAUUUUUUUUUUCUUUCUCCAAGUGGGCGACAUACAUCAUUAGAAGAGGGAGUGAAUUGAUUAUAGGCUUAAUAUCACAAAACGUCUCUAAAGUUUACAAAACUAUCAAAUUGCAUCAUUAAUGUUUCUUUUUAUCAUUCGUGGUCCUCAAGGUUAGUAUGUGUGAUCACAAAUGGUCCUUGCCGUUAAGUUCCGUAAAAAACUCCGUUAGUUUGCUGAUGUGACAUAUAUAUAUCACAAAACAUCCCUGAGGUUCACGCAUCUAUCACAAAUGGUCCCUGCGAAAUUUUUAAAUUUUUAAAUUUAAAAUUCAUACAAUUUUGGUUUUCUUUUUAAUUUUUUUUUUUUAAAAAAUAUAUUGUAUUUUAAAUACACGUGACAUUAUAUUUUUGAAGAUGUGAGCUCCACAUAUAUGCCACAUCAACAAACUAAUGAUGUUUUUUUAUAAAAAUAAUUUAAAAGAAAUAAAAUUUAAAAAUGAAAAAAUCAUUUAUAGAAGAUUUUAACCUUGAGGACCAUUAAUGAACCCUAAACCAUUGGUUUUUCUAUUUUUAAGUUUUCUGAAUUUUAUAAAACUUAAAAAAGAAAACAAAAAUUUUAUGAAUUUUAAAUUUAAAAAAUUUUCCAGGGACCAUUUGUGAUAGGUGCGUGAACUUCAUGGAUGUUUUGUGAUAUAUAUAUGUCAUGUCAACAAACUAAUGGAGUUUUUGACGGUAACGGCAGGGACCAUUUGUGAUUACACAUACUAACUUUGAGGACCACGAAUGACAAAAAAACAUUAAGGGACGUUUUGUGAUAUUAAGCCUUGAUUCUUUUGAUGAGGAGGGCUUAUAAGGCAAAGUUUUAAUGAGGCCACUCUUAGCCCUUCGGUCAUUCAAUUGAUUUUAUUGUAAGUAUUGAUGCAAGUUCAAUAAAAUUAUGCAAGUUCAAUGAAAUUCUUCUCUCUGAUAAAAAAAAGAAAAAAAGAGAGAGAGUGAACAAAACAAUAUAAUAUGAGGUAUGAAACAAGUCAUGUUUGUUGUAUUCGUGUCAAUCCGCGUAUUUUGACGGGUUGGCAUGACACAACUCUUUAAGUUAACAAAUGAAAAAUAUCCGAUAUAAACAUGACCGCUUAAAAUAACAAAUAACUAGACACUGGCUAUCACUCAUUAACCGCUUGUUGGACUGCUGCGAAGUGGAUCAAGCUCUGCCCCUACAUCGAGCUCUCUUUUUAGGAAAUUUUUAAAAGUUAUGCCUGUUCGUUUUACCCUAGUCAAGUUUCCCAAAAAAAAUUUCAAGGUAUUUUCACCCCUCCUAAGCAUUCUCCGUCUCUUCUCUUCAUCUUUUGUCUACCCCAUCCUUCUCUCUCCUCCUCCAUCUCAUCUCUCUCCUCUCUCUAAAUCCUAAAAAUCCUAAAAUCCACAGUGAAAAUAAAUCAAUUCCCUAAAACACAACUCAGUUCGGCUGUGUGAUUUUGAUUUCCAGCACCCCAUUUUUCUUCUUUGUUAUUCUUCUAGUUUCCUUUCAGCUGACAAUGGCGGGAGCUUGCCAUGCAAUCGGGAUUGACCUGGGGACAACCUACUCUUGCGUGGCUGCGUGGCAGCAUGAUCAUAUAGAAGUUAUAGUGAAUGAUCAGGGCAACAGGACCACUCCUUCUUAUGUUGCUUUCACAAAUACUGAGCGCUUGAUUGGUGAUGCUGCAUACAAUCUGGUAAUAAGAAACCCCACCAACACCAUAUUCGGUAAGCUCAUGAUCUUCUCCCAUAUGAGUAUGACCAAUUAAUUUGUUUAUCAAAUCAGCUUUGAAAUCUGCUUUCCUUUUAAAAAAAAAAUUGUAUAUCUUCUUGUUUUUGUUCAUUUCUCUCAAACACUUCAUAAGUUAGUACUUUUAUUAAAACUGAUUUGUUCAGCACAGAAGGUGUACUUACUCACUAUCGUUUGCUUAUAAAUUAUAACAUAUAGCAAGUCAGUAAUUACUAGUUUCAUUUUGGCAGAGUGAGAGAAUUUGGAAUAGUUUACAACAUCUUUAUAUUGACAAUAUGCUUCUAUUUUUAUCAUAUGACCUGUUUCCUUGUGGAAUUGUGUAUUUCUAAUUUUGUCAUCAAUCGGCAGAAGCAAAAAGGUUAAUUGGUAGGAGGUUCAGUGAUGAAUGCGUUCAAAAUGAUAUGAAGCAUUGGCCAUUCAAGGUCGUUGAAGGUCCUGCUGAGAAGCCAGUGUUUGUGAUUACGCACAAGGGCGUGGAGAAACAAUUUGCUGCUGAAGAAAUCUCAUCUAUGGUUCUUGUAAAGAUGCGGGAGAUCGCUGAGGCCUACCUCGGUUUAACGGUGAAAAAUGUAGUUAUCACCGUCCCUGCCUACUUUAACGACUCUCAGCGACAGGCUACGAAAAAUGCAGGUGCUGCUGCUGGGCUAAAUGUGAUGCGUAUCAUCAAUGAGCCGACUGCNNNNNNNNNNNNNNNNNNNNNNNNNNNNNNNNNNNNNNNNNNNNNNNNNNNNNNNNNNNNNNNNNNNNNNNNNNNNNNNNNNNNNNNNNNNNNNNNNNNNUAGCUUAUGGGCUUGACAGGAAGUCCGGUUGGUAUAGCAAGAGAAAUGUGAUGAUAUUUGAUUUUGGUGGUGGUACUUUGGAUGUUUCACUUCUUACCAUAGCUGAUAGUGUCUUUGAAGUGAGGGCCACUUCUGGAGACACUCAUCUAGGAGGAGGUGACUUUGAUAACAGAAUGGUGAAUUAUUGUGUUGAGCAAUUCAAGAGGAAGCAUAAAGUAGACAUUAGUGGAAACCCAAGGGCUCUUGCGAGGUUAAGAAAUGCCUGUGAGAAGGCGAAGAGGAGGCUUUCAUUUAUGUCUGAGAUUGACAUUGACAUUGAUUGUUUGAAUCAGGGUAUUGAUUUCUGCUUGACUAUUUCACGUGCCAAAUUCGAGCAACUCAACAUGGAUUUCUUUGAAAAAUGCAUGCAGCCUGUUGAAAAGUGUUUGGAGGAUGCAAAUAUGGACAUAAGCAGCAUCCAUGAUGUUGUCCUUGCCGGUGGCUCAUCUAGGAUCCCCAAGGUGCAACAGCUUUUGCAGGAGGUGUUCAACGGGAAGGAGCUGUGCAAGGGCAUUAAUCCUGACGAGGCUAUCGCAUACGGUGCCGCUGUUGAAGCUGCAGUCUUGAGUGGUGGGAAUCUAACUGGGAAGCUUCAAGACGUCACACUCUUGGAUGUCACCCCUGUGUCACUUGGGGUGGCGACUUCACUCUCUACGGGUGAGAGAGAUAUUAUGACAGUUGUGAUUCCAAGAAACACCAGAAUUCCUGUCAUGAAGAAGGUGGUAUUAGUUACUUCCCAGGACAACCAAUCUUCUGUCCCCUUUCGCGUUUAUGAGGGUGAGAGUACAACUGUUAAAAAUAAUAACUUUUUAGGUGAAUUUUACCUUAAUGACAUUCCUCCAGCUCCCCAAGGUGUUCCUAAAUUUGAAACAUGCUUUGACAUUGAUGAAAAUGGGAUUCUAAGCGUCUCUGCGAAGGACAUGUCCACCGGCCAGAAGAAGGGGAUUACAUUCAACAGUGACCGAAGAAAUUGUGAAGGAAUUGAGACUGAUCUAAAAUAGUGAUGUAAGGAACUUCAAUUUGUGGCAUGCUAUAAACUGAGGUAGCUUGUAUUAAUAAAUUGUCACAUCUUAUUGGUUGUUAAUGUUAAGUCCUAAUGGCCUCUCCUCGACUUGAAUAUGUCUGUUUUCUUCCUUCUUCGAAGACUUGAAAAUUUUAAGGUAAGACAAUAUAAUUUUUUCCAGUCUUUCAAAGGUUACAUAAUUUCAUUCUAAAAGAAUUUAGGUACCCUUGCCUGUAAUGCUGUGUAUCCUCCAUCAGCUCAGCCAGUGCUGUAUUUUUCGCCCUAGCUGCUCACCCCCUUAAUUAAUCUAAGAACCCAAAUAAUCACAAGGUCACAUGUAGUCUUCAAAUUAAAGAUACAUGUUUGACCCUAAAAAUGUAUAUUUUGAGUACCCCAAAUAAUCACAGUCACUUGUAGUCUUCUAACAGCACAUGUUCAUCAGUCACUUUGCAAGCCCCAAAACGCCCACCUACACAGCUCGGUUAAGACUACAUUCUUCAUGGAAGUUAUUUGAAUGGUUGUGUAGUAUAACAUAUCCAAAUUUGAGCCCGGAUAAAUACUGAAGUCUCAGCUUGUCACACACCAAACCUGGUUCAGGGGAUUCGUUUUGGGCAGCUGUCACACUUGAUUGUGUCACAUGAGACCAAUUGCCUUUUCUGCCACAUCCUCUACUUUUGCAGCAGCUUAUUAAACAAAGAAUGAGAGAAAUUCAGCCCAUGAUGGAACCCCAUCCUAAAGAGAGAGAAGGAGCAAGGAAUGACAAGCUAGCAUGGGAUUGAAUAAAGAAUGCAAUUUCUGACAAGCAUCCAAGCAUGGUGUGCAGCAAAUGAAGCAUAAACAAAUAAGGAAUGAGAUGGGCAGCAGCUGAAGGGAAUAUCACUCACGUAAAGGCAAGGGAGCUGGGAUUAUUUCAUCAUCUCUUCUCUCUCUUCUAUCUCCUCCCUCCUCUUCUCUCUGUAAACCCUAAAAUCCACAUUAAGAAUCAAUAAAUUCCCUAAAACCCAACUGAGCGAGGCUGUGGGAUUUUGAUCUUCAGAGUUUUGUUUUAGUUGACAAUGGCGGGAGCGGGCCAUGCAAUCGGGAUUGACCUAGAGACAACAUACGUGGCUGUUUGGCAGCAUGAUAAUAUAGAAGUUAUGGUGAAUGAUCAGGGCAACAAGACCACUCCUUCUUAUGUUGCUUUCACAAAUACGGAGCGCUUGAUUGGUGACGCUGCAUAUACAAUCUGGUAAUAAACCCCACCGACACCAUCUUCGGUAGGCUCAUGAUCAAUUAUUUGUUUAUCAAAUCAGCUUUGAAUUUUGCUGAGGCUCUGUAUCAUAUAGCAAGUCAGUGAUCACUAGGCAUAACAACUAAUUAGUAAUAUCAUUGUGGCAGAGUGAGAGAAUGACAGAAUUUGGAAUAGUUUAAAGAAUUUUUUUAUUAACAAGGAGAGAGAAAUAUUUUUAAAAGAAGCCUAAAUGGACAAAAAUGCCCUUAUUAUUUUUGAAUUUCCUAAGAAAUCCUUUACAAUUUGCAUGUCUUUGGUUUGAAAGUAGAGGGAUUUUUCUGUCUUUUUCGGAAAGGUUUUGGCUUUUUCCAAAAGUAAAAGUUUUUUUGUGGCUAAAACCUAAAUUUACUUUUAUUAUUGUUAUCAUAUACCUUGUUUCCUUGUGGAAUUGUGUAUUUCUAAUUUCGUCAUCAAUUUGCAGACGCAAAAAGGUUAAUUGGUAGGAGGUUCAGUGAUGACUGUGUUCAAAUUGAUAUGAAGCAUUGGCCAUUCAAGGUCAUUCAAGGUCCUGAUGAUAAGCCAAAGAUUGUGGUUACCCACAUGGGCGUAGAGAAACAAUUCGCUGCUGAAGAAACCUCAUAUCUGGUUCUUGUAAAAUGUGGGAGAUUGCUGAGGCCUACCUCGGUUCAACUGUGACGCCUAUGUUCAAAGUCAUAUGAAACUGUGGCGAUUCAAGGUUCUGGUGAUAAGCCUAUGAUUGUGGUUUCCCACAAAGGCAAAGAGAAGCAGUUUGUUGCUGAAGAGAUCUCAUCCAUGGUUCCCACAAAGAUGCGACAGACUGCUGAAGCCUACCUCGGAUCAGCAGUGAAGAAUACUGUCAUCACAGUCCCGGCUUACUUUAGUAACUCGCAGCGUGAGGAUACAAAAAAUGCUGGUAUUAGCGCUAGCCUAGAGGUGAUGCGCAUUAUCAACGAACCAACAGCCGCAGCAAUUGCUUAUGGCCUUCACAAGAAGAGCAGUGGUUGGUAUAGUAAGCGAAAUGUGCUGAUAUUUGAUUUGGGGGUUGGUACUUUAGAUGUGUCACUACUUACCAUGGGGAGAUGGUGUGUUUGAAGUGAAGGCUACAGCUGGAGACACUCAUCUUGGAGGUGAAGACUUCACAAACAGAAUGGUGGAUUUCUGCGUUCAAGAGUUCAAGAGGAAGCACAACUUGGACAUGAGUAAAAAUUGCAGAUUUCUUAGGACGUUGAGAAAUACAUGUGAGAAGGCAAAGAGGAGACUUUCUUUUACAUCUGCCACUGACAUUGAAAUGGACUGUGUGGAUCAGAGUAAUGACUUAUAUCUAACUAUUACUUGUGCCAAAUUCGAAAGUCUGAACAUGGAUUUAUUCAACAAAUGCAUCGAACUGGUGGACAAGUGUUUGAAGGAUGCUGAAAUGGACAUAAGCAGUGUGCAUGAUGUUGUUCUUGUCGGCUGCUUGUCUAGAAUUCCCAAGGUGCAGCAACUGUUACAGAAUUUCUUCCAGAGGAAGGAGUUGUGCAAAGGCAUUAAUCCAGAUGAAGCCGUGGCAUAUGGCGCCGCUGUUCAAGCUGCAGCCUUGAGUGGGAAUAGAAAUGGAAAUGGGAAGCUUCAAGACCUCGUUCUCUGCAAUGUCACCCCUCUGUCACUUGGCAUAUCGAAUGGAAAAGAAGGUUCCAUGGGAGUCUUUAUUCCCAGAAACCCGAGAAUUCCAAUCACAGUGAAUCGUAUCUCCACCACCACCUCUGAUAACAAAUGUAGUGGCAGAGUCGCCAUUUAUGAAGGUGAGAGUGCAACCGCUGCGGAUAAUUACUUUUUGGGCGAACUCAUCUUGGAUGACUUUCCUCCAUGUCCCCAGGGUGUUCCUACAAUCAAUAUUUCUUUGAUAUUGAUGAUAAUGGUAUCCUCAGUGUCUCUGCUGAAGAAAAUUCCACCCGUCAGAGGAAAAGGAUUAGAAUUAACAGUGACAGAAGAGCUAAUUGUGAGGGGAUUGAGAGGUGAUGUAAGAAGUGAUAAUUAUGGAAGGCCAUACUUUAAUAACUAAACUUUUGUAUGUGCAUGUGUGAGCAAGAACCAUGAUUGGAAAUUAUCAUUGAAAUAUAUAUUGAAAGUUUGAGUCAUUCUACAAUGCCAAGGGUGUAAAUUGCUCAUGAAUUCAUAAUAGAGUAUACAUGAAUCCUAUCAAUCCCCCAUGUGCACUUGAGUGAUUUUUCUCGGUUACUUCACUUGCAUCACCGGCUCACAAUCAUUCACAACCAUACGCGCAACUAAUGUAGCAAUUCAAGAGGAAGCAUAAUGUUUCCAACUGAUUUGUUAACUACUAAUUAUAACUGGGGCUUUUGCAUAACUAACAUGUUGGGGCCAAGAUGGAGCCAAUGUGUGAGUUCAUAUGUGGCUCAAAAUCUCGUAUUCCUAUGUAUCCAUCUUACAUUGGAUUUACUGAUAUGCUGAACUUGUGAAGAUAUUGAGACAGUCAUGUAAGGCGCAUUAAUUUAUGCCAUGCUAAUAUUGAAAUAGCAUAUUAAAUCAGUUUGAUGUUGUUUAGGGGUUGCCUUCACUGCUAACGAGCGGUUGGUCGGUGAAGCAGCGACUAACCAAGUCAUCAGAAACCACACCAACUCCAUCUUUGGUAAAGUUAUCUUCCCUGCACAUCUAUCAACCACAUUUCUUUUAGUCAUCUGUAUGUUUCCUCUUCCUGUGAGGUUGUGAAUACAUGUUUUCUUUGUUUCUAGAAAACAUUCUAGCAAACUGGCUCAUCAAAUUUUGUUCAAAGUUCUUCACUUAUUUAGAAUAUAAAAAGUAGUUGACAUAAAUUUGCAGAUAGAAAACAGUUAAUUGGCAGGAGAUUCAGUGACACAUCUGUUCAAAGUGACAUGAAACUGUGGCCAUUCAAGGAACUGGUGAUAAGCCUAUGAUUGUGGUUACCCACGAACGCCAAGAGCAGCAGUUUUCUGCCGAAGAGAUCUCAUCCAUGGUUCUCUUGAAGAUGCGAGACAUUGCUGAAGCUUACCUCGGAUCAACUGUGAAGAAUACUGUCAUCACAGUCCCUGAUUACUUCAAUAUCUCCCAGCGUGAGGCUACAAAAAAAUGCAGGAUUUAGUGCUGGCCUAAAGGUAGUGCGUAUUAUCAACGAACCAACUGCCGCAGCAAUUUCCUAUGGACUUGAAAAAAAGGCCGGUUGGUAUGGCAAGAGAAUUGUGAUGAUAUUUGAUUUAGGUGGUGGUACUUUGGACGUGUCUCUACUUGCCAUAGGAGAUGGUGUGUUUGAAGUGAAGGCCACCGCUGGAGACACUCACCUUGGAGGUGUAGACUUUGAUAACAGAAUGGUGAGCUAUUGUGUUAAGGAAUUCAAGAGGAAGCAUAAAUUGGACAUCAGUGGAAACUCCAAAGCUCUUUGGAGGUUAAAAAUUGAAUGCGAGAAGGCAAAGAAGAGACUUUCAUUUGCUACUACCACUGAUUUUGAAAUUGACUCUUUGCAUCAGGGUAUUGAUUUCCACAUAACCAUUACGCGAGCCAAAUUUGAACAACUGAUCAGCGAUUUCUUCGACAAGUGCAUGGAACCGGUACACAAGUGUUUGAUGGAUGCUAAGAUGGACAUAUGCAGAGUCCAGGAUGUUGUACUUGCUGGUGGCUCUUCGAGAAUCCCCAAGGUGCAGCAAGUAUUGCAGAAUGUGUUCAAUGGAAAGAAACUAUGCAAGGGUAUUAAUCCGGAUGAGGCUGUAGCGUAUGGUGCCGCUGUUCAAGCUGCCGUCUUGGGCGAUGCCAAUCUCAUUGGAGAGCUUGAAAACUUCACUCUUUUGGAUGUCACGCCGCUGUCGCUUGGUGUGAAGGUUGGGUAUGAAGGUGAUAUGUCAGUUAUUAUUCCGAGGAACAAGAGAACUCCCCUAAAGAUCAAGAAAGAUGGUUUCACUACUAUGUAUGAUUACCAGCGUAUAGGCAGAGUCUCCAUUUAUGAGGGUGAGAGUACAGUAGCCCUAGAUAAUAACUUUUUGGGUGAGUUUAUCCUGGAUGAAAUUUCUCCAGCUCCUGAGGGUAUUCCUAAAAUCAGAAAUUGCUUUGCUAUUGAUUCCAACAGCAUCCUAAGUGUUUAUGCAGAGGACAAGUCCAUCCGUCGGAAGAAAAGGAUUACAAUCAACUGUGACCGAAGAAAUUGUGAGGGGAUUGAGAAUGUGAUUUAGGAAAUGAUAAGUUAGGGCAAAACAAAGCUGAAAAUAGCAUACAUUAUGAUAUCAUGUUUGAUAUUCUACGUGUUUAGCCAUGUUUUGUAAUUGUUUUAAGCCAGAUGCACAUAAGCAUCUGUUUUACAGGGUUCUACAGUUUCAUAAGAGUUGUAGAUAAGUCUAAUUUGGAUCAUGAGAAAUCUAAAAUGCAUUAAGUACCAUUGACUCUGUGCUUGCUGAUCCACGAAUGAAAAUGUAUGAUAUGUGAAAAGACUGAGUUUGUUGACCUCUCUACAUUUCUUAUCAUGUUUUCACGUGAAAAGAAAAGACUAGUGUAUGUAUCUUAAAUAUUGAAGAAACCGUCGAACAUAUAUAUUUAUAGUUUCGAACAUGAAGAUCAUUUUAGGAUAAUGUAUGAAAGGUUAUGUUAAAGACAGAAACAAUCUCUUCAAUUUAUGUUCCAUUGUAGCUCAUCUAUGUUCCAUUGUAGCUCAUCUUAGCCUCCAAAAUCGUGCUUAGAAAUUAUUAUGGAUUGGAUUGUCUUAAGUAUGGCUAGGAAAGCAAAGAAAAUAACAGUUUUGAGAACAGAAUUCUCUUAGUAGCUGUUUUUAUAUAGUAAUUUAAGGGAAGGAAGUAAAUGUCUGCCAGAAAAUAGGAGCAAAAACACUUCAAUCGGCAGUUCGUAGCAAGUCUUGUUUAAAAGGGCGAUUUUGCAACUGUUGCGACGACUUGCAGCGGAUUUAAGUCCUUUCGUGACGAUUUUGAUGUUUCAAUGCUGUAAUACGUCUUUCUCUGCGAUUAAAAUCGUCGCUAGCCGCAGCAAAUUAUGGUUUUAGUACCGGGCCUGAAAACCGCUGCUAAAAGUUGAGAGAAAAUGAAAUCUUGCCUUUCUUCAUUCAUUCAAAUGAUGGUUUUCGUCCAACAAUUUAAUUUUACAGAUCUCUAUCUCUGUUAUAUGAAAAUUUUGUUAACAAUUUCACUCUAGAUCGUUUGUUUCUGGCCCAUCUUUGAAAAUAUUAUGCAGAUAUGGAGUUUUUAUUCAUUUAUUUAAUAACAGUUCAUAACCCAGUUAAUGGAAUGCAACAACUAAAUAUAAUCAUCCCGCCAUAAAUUCUUGGAUCAAAAAGACAAUCCAAUAACCAAGAUCCUACACCAAUCCAUCAAAAAGACAAUCCAUGCUCUUCAACUGCCUUAAGGUCACGUUCUAGAUGAUGAAAUACUUCCUUCCAGUUGAUUUUUGCCUGGAAAACAUAAGUAAAUCAACUCUAAUCGAGAGAAAUCUAAUACAUUCCAACUAGAACCAACAAGAUUGGUAUAAUCAAACCUAAGUCAUCAACAUAUUAAUGCCAACGUUAUAAAUCAACAUGGUCCAGGCCUAACAGCCCAUUUUGAAUAAUCUGAACCAACUAAAUUUUGGCAUGAGGCCUGCAAAUUCACACAAAGAAAAUUCAUUAAGCAUAUUUUACAGAAACAAAACUACACUCACAAAUCCAGAAUAACUCUUUUCCGUUUCCCCUUAGCAAACUAUGUAAAAAAUUCCAAGAUAUUAGCCAAAUCCUCUGCAGAAGUCAACAGCAAAAGGAAAAUGCUAUAAAACCAUCAUGCAUUACCAAAUAUUUCCCAUCAAAACACCAGUUAGAAGUCAGUUUGUAGUUAGUAUUCCAUCACCGUCUCAAAAGAGUAAGAUUUCAAACCCACAUAACCAUGUAACCAGAUUCCAACUCACUCCACAGAAAGUAGCCACACACACAAAAAAAAAAUUUGAAAAAAAGGAACAGAAAUUCAAGCCUUAAAUCGCAAUUGAAAACAAAAUUCACCAAUACCGCAUUAAACGAGAGAAAUUAUUGCACCAUUACAAGGAAUGAAAUUCAGGAAGAGCAAGAAACAGAGUAAACAUGGGUCAAAGGAACACACUUAUCUUCACUCGCAAAGCAGUAGGAUACAUGAGCAUCAAAGGGCACCAGAACACCAAGUGAACAGAACCCCAAAAGCUAUCAAUACAACAUGAAGCGCAACAUAAUCCACUGAUAUCCAUACCAUUCCAAAUAUAAUCAAAUUGAAUGAACAAAUCAAUACGCACUUGCAAAACAUGAGAUGACAAACUCAGACAAAGAUUGAUUUCAAAGUCCUGAAUAAAAUGAUCAAUGUUUGACAUCCCAUUUCCGCCAUAAGAACCAACCCAACCAACCACAGAAGGAAAAGCCUGAAAAUGUAAAGGCUUAAACAUCUGCCAAAUGUGGGUCAUCAGAACCUAGUAAAAUUCAUGUCCUCCUAGCUGCCAUACCAGUGCCUGUGUUAUUUUAUGAAUAUUAUGAAAUUGACAAAUGUAAUCCAAACUUUAGAGGAGGGCAGAAUUAAGCUAAAGUCAAAAUUAGAGAGAUUACUAUGUCUUCUCAGGCAAUCGUAGUGGGAUAUAUGAACAAUAUUCAUUAAGCUCCAAUUAUCAUUUUCAAAUUUAACUUCAUUCAAUUAAAAACUAAAUUAAAAUGAUUUAACAACACAUAAACCAAAAAGUUUAAAACAAACCCUAACUCACAAAUGGUUGAAAUUAGUCUUACAAAAUAUGACUGUUAAGAAUUACCUUAGAGUCAAGGAUGAUUUUUCAAACCGUGGAACCGAGGGAGUUCGUCCUUUCUACCGUAAGGUACAACAGCCCAACGCCAUUCAGCGCUCUAGACGACGGUGCGACGCCGUCGUUCUAAUUUGUCCGAACUCUGAACCGGUUCGGCCACAAUCGCAGGCGUUCUAUUCUAGGUUAGAAGACAUCAUACCACGUCGUCGUUUUAUCUUCACAGUUCUUGAACCCAUUUCAUGUAUGGGCAAAAAGUUGAACCCAAGUAGGCUAAAGCCCAAAACAGAAAAAGAAUUAGGGAAUUUGGGCAAGUAAUACUGCAAGAAUUUGUGACAAAAUAAAAGAUAAAGUUGAACAAAAUUUAACUUAUCAUUUUGUUUUCUUUUAUUCAUAGAUAUUAAUUAUACGGCCUCCAUAUCCCAAGGGUGUUUCUAAAAUUAAUAUUUAAUUACGUUGUUAAUUCCACCGAUCAUAAUAAAAGGAUUAGAAUUAGCAUUGACAAAAGAACUAAAUAGUGUCAAAAUUUUGAAAGAUGAGUUGUAUGAGUGAGUGAGCAACUAAUACUUGAUUCCUAAUGAAACAAUCUAGUUAUAGUUAGUUAGUUGUCUAAACUCAAAACUAAAGCUCACUUAAUGACCCAUUUCUUGUUUCUAAUCUAAUGAAACUCAAUGGAACCAAGUGACGAAACAAGAAAAUAUUGUUUUGGUCUGGAAUUCUUUUUCUCUCUUUGGUUUCUCAUCUCAAGUAGAAACAAAAAGAAAAAGCUAAAAUGCGUUUGGAUUACAAGAUCAUUAAUGCACUUGCGUAUAAAAUCCUACAAAAACCCUGUUUUUCAAUUCUCUCUGCCCAAGGUUUUUUCUCCCUUGAGUGAUCAAAUCAGUCAGGCUCAAAAUGCUGAAUUAUGAAUAUCCUUUUUGUUUUUUUGUUUUAACUGAAAAAAGUAAUUUUAUUGUAUUAUGUUGGAACUUGGAAAUAUUUAGUACAUAAAAGAAUGAACCAAAAUAAAUUAUUUGGUUAAUUUCAGUUUCGUAUUCUGAAGUUGUAUUCAAUCCAUACUUUAAAAAAAAAAAAUUUAAGUGAAUGACUUUUAUAGAGUUGAUAAAUUUUUAAAUACUUUUAUAGAGUUGAUAAAAGUCACCCGUAAAUUAGCAAGACUGUUGCUAUUAACAAUUAGCCUGAAAAGUAUAUAAAAAUCAUUCAUUUAAUAAGCUUUUUAAAAGUCAUUAAUUUUUUGAAUACUACCAAACUUUUAAAGACUUUUUUAAAAGUCACAAUUGAAACCUACUAGACUUUUAUAAACUCUUUAAAAAUCUAACUUGAAUACCUUUAAACUUUUAAACUCUAUAAAAGUCAUUAAAAGUUUGAAUUGAAUACACCCCUUUAAAGUUUGUACUCUGAAUUAUGAAUAUCUUUCUUCUUUAUUGUAUUAUGUUUUUAUUUUCUCUGAAUUAUUGUAUUAUGUUGGAACUUGGAAAUAAUGGUACAUAAAAUAAUGAAUCAAAAUAAAUUAUUGGGUUAAUUUCAGUUUGGUAGUCUGCAUUUGUAUUCUUAAGGUCCUUACAUUUUCAAUCUAAACAAUUAAGUACUCAUAUACAUGAGGGGCAGGGGCAGAGCUAGAAUUGUAAAAUUGAGGGGGCCAAAAUAGAAAACACAAGUAUAUCUUUAUUUGACAGAAUGCUUUUAUUUUUAUCAUAUGACCUGUUUCCUUGUCGAAUUGUGUAUUUCUAAUUUUGUCAUCAAUCUGCAGAAGCAAAAAGGUUAAUUGGUAGGAGGUUCAGUGAUGAAUGCGUUCAAAAUGAUAUGAAGCAUUGGCCAUUCAAGGUCGUUGAAGGUCCUGCUGAGAAGCCAGUGUUUGUGGUUACGCACAAGGGCGUGGAGAAACAAUUUUGCUGCUGAAGAAAUCUCAUCUAUGGUUCUUGUAAAGAUGCGGGAGAUUGCUGAGGCCUACCUUGGUUCUGUUGAUGAGUGGCUCAAAAAAAAUAGUCAAAAGCAAAACUGCUUUCGGCUGGCAGACAUCUUGCGGUGCUUUCGGCUAGCAGACAAAUUGGAGACAAAUUAAUGGCUAGUAUUGAUGGCUUACUUUUACCUUUUUGACUUGUGUGUUUUGCUUUUGCCGUUGGGUGGUUGAAGAGCAAAUGUUUGGCUUAUAAAAGGGAACAUGCAUUUGGGAAAAAAGGUAGAGCGGAAAGCACCGAGAGUUGAUGAGAGAAGAGAGAAGUUGGGAGAGAGAAAAAUAAUAGUUUGGGCAACUAAGCUUUUGUUGCUAUUGUUGAUUAUUUUUCCCUCUCUAAAUUGUACUCAAUUUGUAUCCCCUUUAUAUUCUUGAGCGUGUGAGCUUGGGUAUAUUUGGGGCUUGGGUUUUCUGAGUGGUUAAACACUAUUGUAUUCUCUCAUUGAUUAUAGUGGAAUACUCCGUCGUCUCCAAACUGGAUGUAGGCAAUUGCCGAACCAGUAUAAAUCUUGGUGUUGUUCUUGUUGAUUAUUUUUGUUCUAUUUUUCUCCUGCCUGUUGUUAUUUAUUUUUCACUCGCAGUUGGUUGACGCUUCCGCACAACAAGUGGUAUCAGAGCUCCAGUUUUUCGACUGGGGUUUCGUGGGAGUGAAAAAUCUGUCGGUGCUACAGUGACGGGUGAAUAGUGCACGUGAAUAGUGUCGGUGCUACAGUGCCCCCCCGUGAAUAGUGCUGUGCUAGCAGUGAAUAGUGCCGGGCAGAUUUGAUGGCUGGAGAAAAAGUUGAAAUUUUGAAGGAAAAGGAAUCGACAUCGUCUUCGUCGGCACCUACAUCCAAUAGACAUCCAAUUGCCAGUACAAGGUUAGAGGUUGAUAAAUUUAAUGGCUCCAAUAAUUUUGGUAUGUGGCAAUGUGAAGUUAUGGAUGUGUUGUAUCAACAAGAGUUGGAUAUGGUUCUGGAGGAUAAACCAGAAGAUAUUGAUGACAAGCAGUGGACUCGAAUUAAUCUCCAUGCUUGUGCCACUAUUCGAUCGUUCCUUGAUAAGGAGUUGAAAUACCCGUAUAUGAAGGAAACUUCUGCUAAGAAGUUAUGGAUGAAAUUGGAGGAGAAGUAUAUGACCAAGAGCGCAGAAAAUCGGCUCUUCUUGAAGAAACGACUCUUCCGAUUUCAAUAUCGCUCAGGUAUUUCUAUGCAUGAACACCUCAAUGAUUAUAAUAAAAUACUUGCUGAUUUAGCAAAUCUUGAUGUGAUAAUUCCUGACGAGGAUAAGGCACUAUGUUUGUUAAAUUCAUUGCCUGAUGAUUAUGAUCAUUUGACAACUACUUUGUUGUAUGGAAAAUCCGAGGUGAAACUGGAUGAGGUGUCUGCGGCAUUGGUGAAUCAUGAGUGUCGAAAGAAGGAACAGAAGACUCAAAAUUCACAAACCGAGGCACUUGUUGCAAGGGGUCGAACAGAGGAAAGAAAAUCUGGGAAGCGGGGAAAAUCUCGUUCAAAGUCACGAGGGAAGUUUCCUGCUAAAGACGAAUGUGCCUUUUGUCGCCAAAAGGGUCAUUGGAAGAAAGACUGCCCCAAAUUGAAGAACAAAGAGAAGGAGAAAGCCGGUUCUAAAGCAAAUGUUGCAAAAUCUGGAGAUGUUGAUUUCGAGUUUGCUUUGGCUAGUUCAUCUGCUGAUGGUCACUCAACUGAGUGGAUUUUGGAUUCAGGUUGCACCUAUCAUAUGUGUCCCAUUCGGGAAUGGUUUUCUAGCUUCGAGGAGCUGGAUGAUGGAGUUGUUUUGAUGGGCAAUAAUAAUGCCUGCAAAACACAAGGGAUAGGCAAAAUCUAUUUGAAGAUGCAUGAUGGAACAGUCAGAGAAUUGAGUGAUGUUCGGUAUGUACCGGAUAUGAAGAAGAAUCUCAUCUCAUUGGGCGCUUUGGAAUCCAAGGGUCUCAAGAUCACCAUGGAGGGUGGAGUUCUUAAAGCUGUGUACGGGGCACUGGUGGUGAUGAAAGGUACAAGACGAAAUAACUUGUAUUUCUUGCAGGGUAGUACAGUUAUUGGUGGAGCAGCUGUCACCGAAGCUGCUGACGCAGAUAGCACAGACACCACAAGGUUAUGGCAUAUGCGUCUUGGGCAUGCUGGUGAAAAAGCGUUGCAAGGAUUGGUGAAGCAAGGCUUAUUGAAAGGUGCAAAGGCAUGCAAAUUGGAAUUCUGUGAACAUUGUGUGCUGGGUAAGCAAACUAGAGUGAAAUUUGGCACUGCUAUUCACCACACUAAGGGCAUUCUAGAUUAUGUUCACACUGAUGUUUGGGGACCUUCCAAGAAUGCAUCUUGGGGAGGUAGCCAUUAUUUUGUCUCCUUUGUUGAUGACUUCUCUAGAAGAAUAUGGGUGUACACCAUGAAGCGUAAAGAUGAAGUCUUGAAGAUAUUCCUGAAGUGGAAAAAGAUGAUUGAAACGCAAAGCGGUCGAAAGAUCAAGACUCUCAGAUCAGGCAAUGGUGGUGAAUAUAAGUCUGAUCCUUUCUUGAAAGUUUGUCAAGAUGAGGGUAUUGUGAGGCACUUCACGGUUAGGGAGACACCGCAACAGAAUGGGGUGGCAGAGCGCAUGAACCGUACUUUGCUUGAGAAAGUUCGGUGUAUGUUGUCUAAUGCUGGUUUAGGCAAGGCGUUUUGGGCUGAGGCGAUUACUUAUGCAAGCCAUCUCAUUAAUCGGUUGCCUGCUGCUGCGAAUGAGGGCAAAACGCCCAUGGAGGUAUGGUCUGGUAAACCUUGUACUGAUUACAAGUAUUUACACAUAUUUGGUUGUCCUGCUUACUAUCAUGUCAGGGAAAGCAAGUUAGAUCCAAGAGCAAAGAAAGCUCUAUUUAUGGGAUUUAGCACUGGCGUGAAGGGAUACCGACUUUGGUGUCCAGAUGAGAAGAAAUUUGUUGUAAGCAUAGAUGUGACUUUUGAUGAGGCUGCUAUGGUAAAUCAGAACAAGCAUGAAGGUGAAAUUGAAGCGACUAAGACCAUGAGUAGUUCAAAGCAGGUGGAGUUACUGAAGACUCCAGUUGUUCCAGUAAGGUCUGAUACUACAGACACUAGUUCUACAGUUGAUUCUGAUGAAGAGGACGAGGAUGAUGAAGAGGAGGCACCUACCCAAGAGCCUCCACAGCAACAAGAGUCUAUUGCAAUCAGAAGAGCGAGAAGGGAGAUUCGAAAGCCUGUUCGAUUUACUGAUAUUGUGGCAUAUGCACUUCCCGUUAUUGAAGAUGAUAUUCCAUCCGCCUACAAAGAAGCUGUCAGAAGUUCAGAGAGCGUGGAGUGGAAGAAAUCUAUGGAUGAGGAGAUGAAGUCUCUUCAUAAAAAUGAGACUUGGGAGCUGGUUCAGUUACCAAAAGGGAAGAAAGCAAUUGGUUGCAAAUGGGUUUAUGCCAAGAAGAUGGAAUCUUUGGGAAAAGACAAUGUGAGAUUCAAAGCCAGAUUAGUAGCUAAAGGAUAUGCUCAGAAGGAAGGCAUUGACUACAAUGAGGUAUUUUCUCCUGUAGUAAAACAUUCCUCUAUUCGUAUUUUGUUGGCUUUGGUUGCGCAGUUUGACCUUGAGUUGGCUCAACUUGAUGUCAAGACUGCAUUCUUACAUGGUGAUUUGGAGGAAGAAAUUUAUAUGUCUCAGCCAGAAAGGUUUUAAGGUUGCUGGAAAAGAAAAUUGGGUUUGCAAAUUGCAAAAAUCAUUGUACGGCUUGAAGCAGUCUCCAAGACAAUGGUAUAAGCGAUUUGAUCGAUUUAUGAUCGGGCAGAAGUACACAGAGUCAUUAUGACCAUUGUGUAUACUUUCGCAAGCUACNNNNNNNNNNNNNNNNNNNNNNNNNNNNNNNNNNNNNNNNNNNNNNNNNNNNNNNNNNNNNNNNNNNNNNNNNNNNNNNNNNNNNNNNNNNNNNNNNNNNNNNNNNNNNNNNNNNNNNNNNNNNNNNNNNNNNNNNNNNNNNNNNNNNNNNNNNNNNNNNNNNNNNNNNNNNNNNNNNNNNNNNNNNNNNNNNNNNNNNNNNNNNNNNNNNNNNNNNNNNNNNNNNNNNNNNNNNNNNNNNNNNNNNNNNNNNNNNNNNNNNNNNNNNNNNNNNNNNNNNNNNNNNNNNNNNNNNNNNNNNNNNNNNNNNNNNNNNNNNNNNNNNNNNNNNNNNNNNNNNNNNNNNNNNNNNNNNNNNNNNNNNNNNNNNNNNNNNNNNNNNNNNNNNNNNNNNNNNNNNNNNNNNNNNNNNNNNNNNNNNNNNNNNNNNNNNNNNNNNNNNNNNNNNNNNNNNNNNNNNNNNNNNNNNNNNNNNNNNNNNNNNNNNNNNNNNNNNNNNNNNNNNNNNNNNNNNNNNNNNNNNNNNNNNNNNNNNNNNNNNNNNNNNNNNNNNNNNNNNNNNNNNNNNNNNNNNNNNNNNNNNNNNNNNNNNNNNNNNNNNNNNNNNNNNNNNNNNNNNNNNNNNNNNNNNNNNNNNNNNNNNNNNNNNNNNNNNNNNUACAGUUGCUCUGUCGACUACGGAGGCUGAAUACAUGGCGGUAACAGAAGCUAUAAAGGAAGCCAUCUGGCUUCAAGGAUUGCUUGAUGACUUGGGGAUUGAACAGGACCAUGUGGAUGUUCAUUGUGACAGUCAGAGUGCUAUUUAUUUAGCAAAGAAUCAAGUUCAUCAUGCACGUACAAAACACAUUGACGUGAGGUUCCAUUUUGUUCGUGAGAUUAUUGACGAGGGAAAUAUUCUUCUUCAGAAGAUUGGGACCGCUGAGAAUCCUGCGGAUAUGUUGACAAAGCCAGUUUCGUUGCUCAAGUUUAAGCAUUGCUUAGACUUAAUUGGCAUUUGUAAAGUUUGUUGAUUGCCCCAUGGGGGAUUGGGAGACGACCAUUGAGAGUGUUGCUUCGAGGUUUUGAGCCAAGGUGGAGAUUGUUGAUGAGUGGCUCAAAAAAAAUAGUCAAAAGCAAAACUGCUUUCGGCUGGCAGACAUCUUGCAGUGCUUUCGGCUAGCAGACAAAUUGGAGACAAAUUAAUGGCUAGCAUUGAUGGCUUACUUUUACCUUUUUGACUUGUGUGUUUUGCUUUUGCCGUUGGGUGGUUGAAGAGCAAAUGUUUGGCUUAUAAAAGGGAACAUGCAUUUGGGAAAAAAGGUAGAGCGGAAAGCACCGAGAGUUGAUGAGAGAAGAGAGAAGUUGGGAGAGAGAAAAAUAAUAGUUUGGGCAACUAAGCUUUUGUUGCUAUUGUUGAUUAUUUUUCCCUCUCUAAAUUGUACUCAAUUUGUAUCCCCUUUAUAUUCUUGAGUGUGUGAGCUUGGGUAUAUUUGGGGCUUGGGUUUUCUGAGUGGUUAAACACUAUUGUAUUCUCUCAUUGAUUAUAGUGGAAUACUCCGUCGUCUCCAAACUGGAUGUAGGCAAUUGCCGAACCAGUAUAAAUCUUGGUGUUGUUCUUGUUGAUUAUUUUUGUUCUAUUUUUCUCCUGCCUGUUGUUAUUUAUUUUUCACUCGCAGUUGGUUGACGCUUCCGCACAACAGGUUCAACGGUGAAAAAUGCAGUUAUCACCGUACCUGCCUACUUUAACGACUCUCAGCGACAGGCUACGAAAAAUGCAGGUGCUAUUGCUGGCCUAAAUGUGAUGCGUAUCAUUAAUGAGCCGACUGCUGCAGCCAUUGCUUAUGGGCUUGACAGGAAGUCCGGUUGGUAUAGCAAGAGAAAUGUGAUGAUAUUUGAUUUUGGUGGUGGUACUUUGGAUGUUUCACUUCUUACCAUAGCUGAUAGUGCCUUGAAGUGAGNNNNNNNNNNNNNNNNNNNNNNNNNNNNNNNNNNNNNNNNNNNNNNNNNNNNNNNNNNNNNNNNNNNNNNNNNNNNNNNNNNNNNNNNNNNNNNNNNNNNNNNNNNNNNNNNNNNNNNNNNNNNNNNNNNNNNNNNNNNNNNNNNNNNNNNNNNNNNNNNNNNNNNNNNNNNNNNNNNNNNNNNNNNNNNNNNNNNUCUUCUUGAAGAAACGACUCUUCCGAUUUCAAUAUCGCUCAGGUAUUUCUAUGCAUGAACACCUCAAUGAUUAUAAUAAAAUACUUGCUGAUUUAGCAAAUCUUGAUGUGAUAAUUCCUGACGAGGAUAAGGCACUAUGUUUGUUAAAUUCAUUGCCUGAUGAUUAUGAUCAUUUGACAACUACUUUGUUGUAUGGAAAAUCCGAGGUGAAACUGGAUGAGGUGUCUGCGGCAUUGGUGAAUCAUGAGUGUCGAAAGAAGGAACAGAAGACUCAAAAUUCACAAACCGAGGCACUUGUUGCAAGGGGUCGAACAGAGGAAAGAAAAUCUGGGAAGCGGGGAAAAUCUCGUUCAAAGUCACGAGGGAAGUUUCCUGCUAAAGACGAAUGUGCCUUUUGUCGCCAAAAGGGUCAUUGGAAGAAAGACUGCCCCAAAUUGAAGAACAAAGAGAAGGAGAAAGCCGGUUCUAAAGCAAAUGUUGCAAAAUCUGGAGAUGUUGAUUUCGAGUUUGCUUUGGCUAGUUCAUCUGCUGAUGGUCACUCAACUGAGUGGAUUUUGGAUUCAGGUUGCACCUAUCAUAUGUGUCCCAUUCGGGAAUGGUUUUCUAGCUUCGAGGAGCUGGAUGAUGGAGUUGUUUUGAUGGGCAAUAAUAAUGCCUGCAAAACACAAGGGAUAGGCAAAAUCUAUUUGAAGAUGCAUGAUGGAACAGUCAGAGAAUUGAGUGAUGUUCGGUAUGUACCGGAUAUGAAGAAGAAUCUCAUCUCAUUGGGCGCUUUGGAAUCCAAGGGUCUCAAGAUCACCAUGGAGGGUGGAGUUCUUAAAGCUGUGUACGGGGCACUGGUGGUGAUGAAAGGUACAAGACGAAAUAACUUGUAUUUCUUGCAGGUAGUACAGUUAUUGGUGGAGCAGCUGUCACCGAAGCUGCUGACGCAGAUAGCACAGACACCACAAGUUAUGGCAUAUGCGUCUUGGGCAUGCUGGUGAAAAAGCGUUGCAAGGAUUGGUGAAGCAGCUUAUUGAAAGUGCAAGGCAUGCAAUUGGAAUUCGAUGAACACUGUGUGCUGGGUAAGCAAANNNNNNNNNNNNNNNNNNNNNNNNNNNNNNNNNNNNNNNNNNNNNNNNNNNNNNNNNNNNNNNNNNNNNNNNNNNNNNNNNNNNNNNNNNNNNNNNNNNNNNNNNNNNNNNNNNNNNNNNNNNNNNNNNNNNNNNNNNNNNNNNNNNNNNNNNNNNNNNNNNNNNNNNNNNNNNNNNNNNNNNNNNNNUUCCUGAAGUGGAAAAAGAUGAUUGAAACGCAAAGCGGUCGAAAGAUCAAGACUCUCAGAUCAGGCAAUGGUGGUGAAUAUAAGUCUGAUCCUUUCUUGAAAGUUUGUCAAGAUGAGGGUAUUGUGAGGCACUUCACGGUUAGGGAGACACCGCAACAGAAUGGGGUGGCAGAGCGCAUGAACCGUACUUUGCUUGAGAAAGUUCGGUGUAUGUUGUCUAAUGCUGGUUUAGGCAAGGCGUUUUGGGCUGAGGCGAUUACUUAUGCAAGCCAUCUCAUUAAUCGGUUGCCUGCUGCUGCGAAUGAGGGCAAAACGCCCAUGGAGGUAUGGUCUGGUAAACCUUGUACUGAUUACAAGUAUUUACACAUAUUUGGUUGUCCUGCUUACUAUCAUGUCAGGGAAAGCAAGUUAGAUCCAAGAGCAAAGAAAGCUCUAUUUAUGGGAUUUAGCACUGGCGUGAAGGGAUACCGACUUUGGUGUCCAGAUGAGAAGAAAUUUGUUGUAAGCAUAGAUGUGACUUUUGAUGAGGCUGCUAUGGUAAAUCAGAACAAGCAUGAAGGUGAAAUUGAAGCGACUAAGACCAUGAGUAGUUCAAAGCAGGUGGAGUUACUGAAGACUCCAGUUGUUCCAGUAAGGUCUGAUACUACAGACACUAGUUCUACAGUUGAUUCUGAUGAAGAGGACGAGGAUGAUGAAGAGGAGGCACCUACCCAAGAGCCUCCACAGCAACAAGAGUCUAUUGCAAUCAGAAGAGCGAGAAGGGAGAUUCGAAAGCCUGUUCGAUUUACUGAUAUUGUGGCAUAUGCACUUCCCGUUAUUGAAGAUGAUAUUCCAUCCGCCUACAAAGAAGCUGUCAGAAGUUCAGAGAGCGUGGAGUGGAAGAAAUCUAUGGAUGAGGAGAUGAAGUCUCUUCAUAAAAAUGAGACUUGGGAGCUGGUUCAGUUACCAAAAGGGAAGAAAGCAAUUGGUUGCAAAUGGGUUUAUGCCAAGAAGAUGGAAUCUUUGGGAAAAGACAAUGUGAGAUUCAAAGCCAGAUUAGUAGCUAAAGGAUAUGCUCAGAAGGAAGGCAUUGACUACAAUGAGGUAUUUUCUCCUGUAGUAAAACAUUCCUCUAUUCGUAUUUUGUUGGCUUUGGUUGCGCAGUUUGACCUUGAGUUGGCUCAACUUGAUGUCAAGACUGCAUUCUUACAUGGUGAUUUGGAGGAAGAAAUUUAUAUGUCUCAGCCAGAAGGUUUUAAGGUUGCUGGAAAAGAAAAUUGGGUUUGCAAAUUGCAAAAAUCAUUGUACGGCUUGAAGCAGUCUCCAAGACAAUGGUAUAAGCGAUUUGAUCGAUUUAUGAUCGGGCAGAAGUACACAAGAAGUCAUUAUGACCAUUGUGUAUACUUUCGCAAGCUACAAGAUGGAACCUUCAUCUAUCUGCUUUUAUAUGUUGAUGAUAUGCUUAUAGCAUGUAAAAGCAAAGUGGAGAUUGAAAGGUUGAAGACUCAACUGAGUAAUGAAUUUGAGAUGAAGGACUUAGGAGAAGCUCGGAAGAUACUGGGUAUGGAAAUUGAAAGAGAUAGAGCGAAGGGCAAGAUUAGUCUGUGUCAAAAGCAGUAUUUGAAGAAGGUACUACAGCGUUUCGGGAUGAAUGAAAAUUCAAAACCGGUUAGUACACCUCUUGCCCCUCAUUUCAAACUUAGUGCUUCUAUGUCUCCUAAAACUGGUGAAGAGAGUCAUUACAUGGCUCAAAUUCCAUAUGCAAGUGCUGUUGGUAGUUUGAUGUAUGCUAUGGUGUGUACGAGGCCUGAUAUUUCACAAGCUGUUAGUAUUGUCAGUAGAUAUAUGCAUAAUCCAGGAAAAGGGCAUUGGCAAGCUGUGAAAUGGAUUCUACGGUAUAUUCUGGGUACUGUGGAUGUUGGUUUAUUGUUUCAGCAUGAUAAAGUUACUGGUCAAUGUGUUGUUGGAUAUGUGGAUUCUGAUUACGCAGGUGAUUUGGACAAGCGUAGGUCCACUACAGGUUUUGUAUUCACUAUUGCUGGAGGUCCAGUGAGUUGGAGGUCGAUUCUGCAAUCUACAGUUGCUCUGUCGACUACGGAGGCUGAAUACAUGGCGGUAACAGAAGCUAUAAAGGAAGCCAUCUGGCUUCAAGGAUUGCUUGAUGACUUGGGGAUUGAACAGGACCAUGUGGAUGUUCAUUGUGACAGUCAGAGUGCUAUUUAUUUAGCAAAGAAUCAAGUUCAUCAUGCACGUACAAAACACAUUGACGUGAGGUUCCAUUUUGUUCGUGAGAUUAUUGACGAGGGAAAUAUUCUUCUUCAGAAGAUUGGGACCGCUGAGAAUCCUGCGGAUAUGUUGACAAAGCCAGUUUCGUUGCUCAAGUUUAAGCAUUGCUUAGACUUAAUUGGCAUUUGUAAAGUUUGUUGAUUGCCCCAUGGGGGAUUGGGAGACGACCAUUGAGAGUGUUGCUUCGAGGUUUUGAGCCAAGGUGGAGAUUGUUGAUGAGUGGCUCAAAAAAAAUAGUCAAAAGCAAAACUGCUUUCGGCUGGCAGACAUCUUGCAGUGCUUUCGGCUAGCAGACAAAUUGGAGACAAAUUAAUGGCUAGCAUUGAUGGCUUACUUUUACCUUUUUGACUUGUGUGUUUUGCUUUUGCCGUUGGGUGGUUGAAGAGCAAAUGUUUGGCUUAUAAAAGGGAACAUGCAUUUGGGAAAAAAGGUAGAGCGGAAAGCACCGAGAGUUGAUGAGAGAAGAGAGAAGUUGGGAGAGAGAAAAAUAAUAGUUUGGGCAACUAAGCUUUUGUUGCUAUUGUUGAUUAUUUUUCCCUCUCUAAAUUGUACUCAAUUUGUAUCCCCUUUAUAUUCUUGAGUGUGUGAGCUUGGGUAUAUUUGGGGCUUGGGUUUUCUGAGUGGUUAAACACUAUUGUAUUCUCUCAUUGAUUAUAGUGGAAUACUCCGUCGUCUCCAAACUGGAUGUAGGCAAUUGCCGAACCAGUAUAAAUCUUGGUGUUGUUCUUGUUGAUUAUUUUUGUUCUAUUUUUCUCCUGCCUGUUGUUAUUUAUUUUUCACUCGCAGUUGGUUGACGCUUCCGCACAACAGGUUCAACGGUGAAAAAUGCAGUUAUCACCGUACCUGCCUACUUUAACGACUCUCAGCGACAGGCUACGAAAAAUGCAGGUGCUAUUGCUGGCCUAAAUGUGAUGCGUAUCAUUAAUGAGCCGACUGCUGCAGCCAUUGCUUAUGGGCUUGACAGGAAGUCCGGUUGGUAUAGCAAGAGAAAUGUGAUGAUAUUUGAUUUUGGUGGUGGUACUUUGGAUGUUUCACUUCUUACCAUAGCUGAUAGUGCCUUUGAAGUGAGGGCCACUUCUGGAGACACUCAUCUAGGAGGUGGUGACUUGGAUAACAGAAUGGUGAAUUAUUGUGUUGAGCAAUUCAAGAGGAAGCAUAAAGUAGACAUUAGUGGAAACCCAAGGGCUCUUGCGAGGUUAAGAAAUGCCUGUGAGAAGGCGAAGAGGAGGCUUUCAUUUAUGUCUGAGAUUGACAUUGACAUUGAUUGUAUGAAUCAGGGUAUUGAUUUCUACUUGACUAUUACACGUGCCAAAUUCGAGCAACUCAACAUGGAUUUCUUUGAAAAAUGCAUGCAGCCUGUUGAAAGGUGUUUGAAGGAUGUAAAUAUGGACAUAAGCAGAAUCGAUGAUGUUGUCCUUGCCGGUGGCUCUUCUAGGAUCCCCAAGGUGCAACAGCUUUUGCAGGAGGUGUUCAACGGGAAGGAGCUGUGCAGGGGCAUUAAUCCUGACGAGGCUAUCGCAUACGGUGCCGCUGUUGAAGCUGCAGUCUUGAGUUGUGGGAAUCCAACUGGGAUGCUUCAAGACUUCAGACUCUUGGAUGUCACCCCUGUGUCACUUGGGGUAGCGACUUCACUCUCUACGGGUGAGAAAGAUUUUAUGACAGUUGUGAUUCCAAGAAACACCAGAAUUCCUGUCAUGAAGAAGGUGGUAUUAGUUACUUCCCAGGACAACCAAUCUUCUGUCCCCUUUCGCGUUUAUGAGGGUGAGAGUACAACUGUUAAAAAUAAUAACUUUUUAGGUGAAUUUUACCUUAAUGACAUUCCUCCAGCUCCCCAAGGUGUUCCUAAAUUUGAAACAUGCUUUGACAUUGAUGAAAAUGGGAUUCUAAGCGUCUCUGCGAAGGACAUGUCCACCGGCCAGAAGAAGGGGAUUACAUUCAACAGUGACCGAAGAAAUUGUGAAGGAAUUGAGACUGAUCUAAAAUAGUGAUGUAAGGAACUUCAAUUUGUGGCAUGCUAGUAUAAACUGAGAUAGCUUGUAUUCAUCAAUUGUCACAUCUUAUUGGUUGUUAAUGUUAAAUCCUAAUGCCGUCUCCUCGACUUGGAAGGAGUUGAAAUUUUAGUCUUUCUAGUCUUUCAAAGGUUACAUAAUUUCAUUCCCUAGCUGCUCACCCACUUAUUGCAAAACAUGAGAUGACAAACUCAGACAAAGAUUGAUUCUUCUUUCUUUGAUGAAAUGGGGGAAAACCCCAAGAACAACAACACCCUAACCACCACAAAUCAGACGACAAAGAUUAAAACAUCUCAUUUGCCCCAUAACAACCAACCGACCAACCGCAGAAGGAGCAUCUUGAAAAGGUGAAUGAUUAAACCUCUGCAGAAGUUUAAACAGAUGUCGACGAUACGACGGCCCAACGCCAUUCAACGCUCUGCACCACGAUACUUUCUUCGUCUCAACUCUGAAUCGGUGCGGCCGGCCACAAUUGC